rnacentral:rRNA from 1 species
AACGAACGCUGGCGGCAUGCCUAACACAUGCAAGUCGAACGAGACCUUCGGGUCUAGUGGCGCACGGGUGCGUAACGCGUGGGAACCUGCCCUUAGGUUCGGAAUAACUCCCCGAAAGGGGUGCUAAUACCGGGUAAUGUCUUCGGACCAAAGAUUUAUCGCCUUUGGAGGGGCCCGCGUUGGAUUAGCUAGGUGGUAGGGUAAAAGCCUACCAAGGCGACGAUCCAUAGCUGGUCUGAGAGGAUGAUCAGCCACACUGGGACUGAGACACGGCCCAGACUACUACGGGAGGCAGCAGUGGGGAAUAUUGGACAAUGGGCGAAAGCAUGAUCCAGCAAUGCCGCGUGAGUGAUGAAGGCCUUAGGGUUGUAAAGCUCUUUUACCCGGGAUGAUAAUGACAGUACCGGGAGAAUAAGCUCCGGCUAACUCCGUG